AUGCAGACGGCGACGGCGGCGGCGGCGGCGCCGUGGGUGCCGACCCCUUCCCCGUCCACCUCCUCCUCCGCGACCCCCUUCAAGGCUAGGGUGGGGAUUGCGUUGCCUUGUCGGACGGGUGUCCGGACCUCCUCUGCCCCGAGGCUGGUUGCUACCCCCGCUCGCCGGCGGCGGCGGCAAGUGGUUCAGGCUAUUGCCAACCCAGAUCCAGCGGUCGAGCUGCCAUUGACUGCUGAAAAUGUUGAGUUGGUGUUGGAUGAAGUGCGACCUUACCUUAUGGCCGAUGGAGGUAAUGUCGUGUUGCAUGAGAUUGAUGGAAAUGUGGUGCGAUUGAAGCUGCAAGGAGCAUGUGGAUCAUGCCCAGCUUCAGUAACAACAAUGAAGAUGGGUAUUGAGCGACGUUUGAUGGAGAAAAUACCAGAGAUUGUUGCAGUUGAACCUAUUGCUGAUGAGGAGACUGGUCUUGAAUUGAAUGAAGAGAACAUAGAAAAGGUUCUUGACGAGAUCAGGCCAUACCUUUCUGGCACAGGGGGUGGUGAGCUUGAGUUUGUUUCAAUCGAGGAACCUAUCGUGAAGGUCAGGCUCACAGGCCCAGCUGCUGGCGUGAUGACUGUCCGAGUGGCCCUCACUCAGAAGCUCCGAGAAAAGAUCCCGAAAAUCGCAGCUGUCCAGCUAUUGUCGUAA
rnacentral:rRNA from 1 species